rnacentral:rRNA from 1 species
UACAGAGGGUGCGAGCGUUGUCCGGAAUCACUGGGCGUAAAGGGCGCGUAGGCGGCUUCUUAAGCGUGUGGUGAAAGCGCGGGGCUCAACCCCGCGUCGGCCGUGCGAACUGGGGAGCUGGAGCACGUCAGAGGCAGGCGGAAUUCCGGGUGUAGCGGUGGAAUGCGUAGAGAUCCGGAGGAACGCCGGUGGCGAAAGCGGCCACCUGGGUCUGACCUGACGCUGAGGUGCGAAAGCGUGGGGAGCAAACCGG